rnacentral:rRNA from 1 species
AACGAACGCUGGCGGCAUGCCUAACACAUGCAAGUCGAACGAGACCUUCGGGUCUAGUGGCGCACGGGUGCGUAACGCGUGGGAACCUGCCCUUAGGUUCGGAAUAACUCCCCGAAAGGGGUGCUAAUACCGGAUCAUGUCUUCGGACCAAAGAUUUAUCGCCUUUGGAUGGGCCCGCGUUGGAUUAGCUAGUUGGUAGGGUAAAAGCCUACCAAGGCGACGAUCCAUAGCUGGUUUGAGAGGAUGAUUACCCACACUGGGACGGAGACACGGCCCAGACUCCUACGCGAGGCAGGAGUGGGGAAUAUUGGACAAUGGGCGAAAGCAUGAUCCAGCAAUGCCGGGUGAGUGAUGAAGGCCUUAGAGUUGUAAAGCGCUUUUACCCGGGAUGAUAAUGACAGUACCGGGAGAAUAAGCUCCGGCUAACUCCGUG